UACGUAGGGGGCAAGCGUUGUCCGGAUUUAUUGGGCGUAAAGAGCGUGUAGGCGGUUUGGUAGGUCCGCUGUGAAAACUCGAGGCUCAACCUCGAGACGCCGGUGGAAACCAUCAGGCUAGAGUCCGGAAGAGGAGAGUGGAAUUCCUGGUGUAGCGGUGAAAUGCGCAGAUAUCAGGAAGAACACCCGUGGCGAAAGCGGCUCUCUGGGACGGUACUGACGCUGAGACGCGAAAAGCGUGGGGAGCGAACAGG
rnacentral:rRNA from 1 species